rnacentral:lncRNA from 1 species
UGCUUAAUUUGCUUGUAAGCGGCCUUGUUAACCUCGAAGGAGACCGAUGGAGCAAGCGUAGAAAAAUCAUAAACCCUGCAUUUCAUCAAGAUAAGUUGAAGGUAUAGAAUAGUGAUGGGUAAUCAGACUUUACAGAAAACAUCAUACUUAAACCAAUGCUUUUCUGAUUUAGAAAUAAUUGGAUGCAGAAUAUGUUGCCAGCAUUUUAUCAAAGUUGUAGUGACAUGUUAAGCAAAUGGGAGAAGAUGGUGUGUACAGAAGGAUACAGUGAGUUAGAUGUGAGGCCUUAUCUCGUAGAUUUGACAAGAGAUGUGAUUUCCCGAUCUGCUUUUGGAAGCAGCUUCGAAGAAGGCAAACGAAUUUUCCAAUUACUAGAGGACCAACUCGUUCUCACAAUCAAAUUAAUACAAACUGUUUACAUUCCAGGAUGGAGGUAACCGUCAACUUAAUUUACUUGAAAAAGGUUGCAAAUCUUGGAAUUGGCUAAAUUCGUGUUUGUUUUCUUGAAGGUUUUUGCCAACGAAGACAAACAGGGAGAUGAAGAUGAAACACAGAGACAUAAAAGAGUCGCUUAGGGAAAUGAUAAAGAGAAGGGAGAAGGCAAUUAAAGCAGGGGAAGAGAGCAAUGAGGACUUGUUGGACAUACUUGUGGAAUCCAAUAUCAGAGAAAUGGAAGCAAAGAAUAUGGGGAUGAGCAUUGAGGAUGUGAUUGAGGAAUGCAAGCUGUUUUACUUUGCUGGCCAAGAGACCACUUCGGUCUUACUGGUGUGGACUAUGGUUUUAUUAGCAAGGUAUCCCGAUUGGCAAAGUAAAGCAAGAGAGGAGGUUUUGCAUGUUUUGGGUGACAAUAAACCUGAUGCUGAUGGCCUUAAUCGUCUCAAAGUUGUAAGUCCCUAGCAUGUCUUUUGAAGGUCCGAUCAAUGAGGUCGACAACUCAAAAACUUUGUUUCUUUUUUCGCUAAUUCUACAGGUAACGAUGAUAUUGUACGAGGUUCUAAGGCUGUACCCACCGGUGGUUGAGCUAGGACGUUCCGUUCCAAAAGAAAUAAAACUGGGGAAUUUGUUGUUACCAGUAGGAACAGAAGUUUCGGUUCCGAUCCUGCAGAUCCACCAUGACAAAGAUCUUUGGGGUAACGACGCACGGGAAUUUAAGCCAGAGCGGUUCGCGGAAGGGGUUUCCAAAGCAACAAAGAGUCAAGUCACGUUUCUGCCAUUCGGAUGGGGUCCUAGGAUCUGUAUUGGCCAAAAUUUUGCUUUGAUGGAAGCCAAAAUGGCGAUGGCUAUGAUUCUCCAACGCUUCUGGUUCGAGCUUUCCCCUUCCUAUGCUCACUCUCCUUACAGCAGGGGAACUCUUCGUCCACAGCAUGGUGCACAGAUAAUUUUACAUAAACUUGGCUGUAAUUGAAUUGUUAUGUAAACAAAUCUUUGUGAAAACAUAGCGUUUUAGUGUAUCGUCAAAGUCCGGUGUCUGUAAUGGUACAAAUUCGAUGCAUGAAUAGUAAAUUUUGAGAUGUUUGGUGAAGUCCGAAAUAAUAUGCAGAAAUUGAGCGUCUAUGGUGGACAUAGUUGAGGGACUAAUGUGGUAAUUAUCAAUCAAAUAAUUCGGUACAAAGACUUGUAUGGAAAUUAAAGCAGGGGGAGUUGAAAAUGACUACUCUGCUUUGGGCAUCAAUUUAGAAAGAUUUAAAGUACAACUGUGUUAUCAGUUAAGGGAUUUGUUUUAAAGAGGGAAUGACAAUUAAACCUCAUGGUUUAUUUGUGCAAGGGAACCGAUGAUGGGAUGAUUAUUCUUAGUGGUAAAAAAAACCAUUAUGGAGGUUAUUACACUUGUUAUCAUCAGCUUAAAAUUCGAAUGGGUUCAAGUCGGAUUAUAUCGAGCUUGUAAGAUGAGUUCACGGACCAAGUUUGCAUAAUAAAAUACCUAAAUGAAAAAAAAUUCUAUUUUAGAGGGACGAGAGCCCCUAUCAACUCCCGGCUCAGCCACUAAACAAUACCUAUAUCAUAUAAAUAAAUACCACCAUCUAAAAGACUCAAAGAAAAACACUCAACAAAGGAUAAAUAGAUAGAUGUUGGAUAAGUGUCCAAAAUAUGAUUUAAGUGAAGAUACAUGUGGUAGGUGUUACGGAAAUGUGAAGACAAGAAUCCCACUAACGUAUGGGAUGUGUGCAGUUGAAUGUAGGGAGCAAAAAGAGGAGUGAAUCAUUUUGGUAACAUUUGGACAAGAAACAUAAUGAACAAAAUGGAAGGAGAGGAAGCUAGUAAAAGAAUUUUUUUGGGUCAUAUAAUUUGUUCAUUUUGGAGUUGAAUUAUAAUUUUUUUAUAUAUUAUUUUAAAAUUUUAAGGAGUUAAAACAAAAUUAUUUUAUUUUCAGAUGGUCAAAGUAGAGGUGAUAAUGGGUUGGGCUAUUCGGCCCGGCCUGACGAUUCACUCGAAAAAUAGGAGGGUUUAGGUAAAAAUAUAGGCUCGAAAUAGGGAUUUGAGCAAAAAAAGAGUCCCGUUUAGAAAAUGGGCCAGGCCUCGGGUAAAAUUUUUUGGGCCCAAGCCUGACCUGAAUUAUAUAUUAAAUAUAUUUUUUAAUUUUUAAUCAAAUAUACUUUUUUUUAUUAAUUUGGUUAUUAUUUUAGUUCUAAUUUGUUUCAAUUUUAAUAUAACCACUUUUUAUUAUAUUUUCAAUUUGUGUAUUGUUUUAAGAAUUGUUUUAGUCUCAUUUUUUUAUUUAUUUUUUGUUUUAAUAAUUGUUUUAAAAAUUUUUAUUUAAUGAAAUAAGCUAAAAAAAUUAAUAUGGGCUUGGCCAGGCCAGGCUCGGGCCUAGUAAUUUUCUUUUGGGCCGGACUUAGAUAAAAUUUUAAGCCCAUAUUUUAAAUUGGGUCCUAACCUAAAAAAUGAACCUAAAAUUUUAUAUGGGCCCGACUUGGCCCUUGAUUACCUUUAGGUCAGAGCUAUCCUCGUUUUGCAUUUCUUUGAGAUUCAGCCUUAUCUACUGUGAUUGCCCACUCAAUUGAGGGUUGAGUAGAAAGAUUUGGUGAAGCAAGCUAAGCUAUCAAUCAAGGUUUGCAUAAUUAUUUAAAUGUAAUUCUAAUAUUAAAAUAAUUUUUUUAUUAAUAUAGUAUCAACAAGCAUUAAAUGUAAUGAUCAUAUACUAUUACAUUUUAAAGAAGAGAAAACAUGUUUGAACUUUAAAAACCACGUUACUAAAAACAUUAUCACAAACCUUGAAAUAUAAAAAAUAAUUUUUUUAAUAUAAUAAAAAAUUAAUUUUAAACCCGAGCUGAAUAAAAUUCUAAUUUUAGUUAAUGAUACGAACAACAAAUCAAUAUUCUAAGCCCGAGCCCUGCUCAUUUUUUUAAUAAACACCAAAAAUUUAUUUUGAAAAUAAAAAAUAAAAAAAAUAUUUUAAAAAUAUUUUAAAAAUAAAAAAAAUUAAAAAUAAAUAUUUAUUAUAUAUUCAGGCCGGGCCGGGCUAGCCUUGGGCUAAAAAAAUGGUGCCCGAGGCCCGGCCCAUUUUCUAAAUAGGCCUCAUUUUUUGUCCAAACCCAUAUUUUGGGCCUAUAUUUUUACCCGAACCUCUCAUAUUUUGGGCGGACCGUCGGGCCGGACCGGGCCGCCCGGCCAUGAACACCUCUAGGGCAAAGUCACUCAAUGAAUGCAUGGAAAGAAAUAUUGCAACUUGGUGACAGCUUUUGUUGGAGUUAUAUGCUUUUUUUUACAUAGUGGAACUUUCGGUGGAUUUUCAAGUUUCAUGAACUUUAUACCCUAGGCUUUACGUGAAAAAAAUCAUUGGACUUAAAAGUCUACCAAAAGUUUCACUAUAAUAAAUAAAUAAAUAAAUAACAUUGCUACAAGACUACAACAUAAAGUUACAAUAAGAGCUUAUAACUCAACAAAGGCUAUCAAUAAAUAAUCUCAAGCAAGCUAAAGAGAAAUGUUGAGAGUACCACUCAAAUAGUGAUUGACUUUAAAAAUUGAAAACCCGAAGUUAUUGUUGACACCAUUUUUUGGAUGAAAAUGUGUCGACUUGGGUUUUGAAAAUGAAAACGAAAACGAGAGUCGCCACCAAUCCUUUUUGAUAAGGUGUGACUGGGUCACCUUGAAAAGUGGUUGUUUUUAAUAAACGAUUUGAUUUUAUUAAAACAACAGUUUUGGUCCACGAAAUUCAGAAAAAUGAGUUCGGGAGUCGGUUACGCACGAGGAAGGAUUAGCACCCUCGAUACGCCCAAAAUUGGUACCUAGUUGAUUACUUAAUGUCUUAAUGUCGAAAAUUGAAAACUUUGGAGAAUUUUAAACAUACGAUCCUUGUAUUAAAACGUUAAAAAUUUUCAAGAAAAUGGGAUAUUUCACGUUAUUCGAUAAAGAGAAUCAUAUCCUAGUAAGUUAGGACACAAUAUCUCGAAUUUCCGAUAUCAUUUAAAACUUGAGUUUGAAAAGAUUCGUGUAAUAAAGUUUAAAAUAAUAUUCAAUUGUUUAAAUCAAAUGAAGAAAUCGCAACCCAAUACGUUAGGGCACAAUUUCUCAAAAUAUUAAACAUUGAAUAUUGCAUUUAUUUCGAAAAAUCCUCAUCUCGAGAAAACGUGUCACAUCCAAUGCAUUAGAAUACAACGUAUUGAAUUCUCGAUAACGAGCUUUUUCUCAUUUUUUAAAAGAGUAAUCUCGAUUAUUUAGGUUCAACGAAGAAAAUCAAAACCCAAUACGUUAGGGCUCGAUUUUCUCAAAGAUUCCAAAUACCGAGUAUUACUUAUAUUUUUAAAAUUUCUUUUUUGAAAUCCGAGUAAAAAUGAAUGCAAAAUAAUAAAUGAUGACAAUGUAAAUAAAAUGAUACAAGCAAAACAAUAAACAAUAAAAAUAAUCAUACGGGCAAGGUAACAAAUAAUUAGGAACUAAAGAAAGAGAACAAACAAUAAUAAACAUGCAAAUAAAUGAACAAAAUUAACAACAUGAUGCAAAUAUGAAAGAUAUAUAAGCACAUAUAUAUACAUAAAAUAAUGAGAAUAUGAAAAAAUGUGUGUAAUUGGACAUGUUUCGGAAUUAUUAUACAUUUAAAAAUCAUGUAAAUGUGUGUACAUACAUAUAUACAUAUAUAAUAAUCAUUAAAUAUAUAAAAAUACAUAUGUGUAGGUAUAUAUGAGUCAUAAAAUGUAAAGAAUAUAUACAAGAUAUAUUUUGAACGUAUAAAGUAUAUGUAAAUGUAUAUAUAUAAUAAAGGUGUAUGAAAGCAUAUUUUAUAUACGUGUAUUUAUAAAAUGUAUAUAAAUGUAUAUUGAUUUACCAAUACAUAUGGAUUUAUAAUUAUAGAAUAUAUAUAAAAUAUUUACAUAUAUACGUUUAUGCAUAUAUAAAAGUAAGUUAUUAUAAAAUAUGAGCAAGCAGAAUACAUAAAUAUAUAUACAUAAAAUAAAAAUGAAGAUGAAAAUAAUAUAAAACUACUUAAUAUAUUAAUAUAAUAGUAACAAAUUAAAAAAACAGAAAAUAAAGCUAAUAAUAAUUAAUAAUAGUAGUAAUAAUUAUAGCAGCAAUGAUAAUGAUAAUAAUAAUAACACUAAAAAAAUUAAUUAAAUAAUAAAAUUGCUAAAAAGGGAUUAAAUCGAAAUAAAAACAUAAAUACUGGGCGAUUUUGAAAUAAAAAACGGGAAGGACCGAAUUGCAACGCGCGUUGAAAAGGAAAGGGCCAAAACUGCAAAUAAACCACAGCCCCAAAACGCAGCGUUGAAAUGGACCAAGUCGAAAUAAAAAUAAAAUUGCAGGGGCUAAAUUAAAAAUAAGAGAAAAUAACGAAAAAUGAUCAAAUUGUAAUACGCUGCAAAAUCAGGGGGACUGCACGCGCAAAUAGCCCAAAAACUGAAAACACGCGGAUCCUCCGGGUCGGGUCGGGUCGGGUCAGGUCGACGUGCGGAUCCCCUUUGCUAAAACGGCGUCGUUUCAUGUUUAAUAUAAAUACUAAAAAAAGCUAAAAAAAACAGUUUCAUCUUUUUUUAAAAAAAACAGAGAGAAAACUCUCUCUUUUUCCCUCAGGUCCGGCCAUGGUCCGGCUUGGGAUUUCCGACGAGUCUCCGCCGCAAAGCCACCGUGUGUGGCGGCCGGAGGUUCAAAAUCAGACCUUUUUGGUCCUUUUUUAAAGUCCAUGGCCUCCAAGCCACAGAUCCGGGGCUGAAUCUCCUGAAUCGAAAGCCGAAGACCCAAAAAAUGGGGUGAAAUCCUUCGCCUUCCUCCCCCUUCCGGCGCUGCGCAGGUAAGGUUUUUUUUAACUCCUUUUUUACUAUCUUUAUUUAUAUAUAUACAUGAAGAGAAAAGAGAGCAAAAUAAAUAAAUAAAUAAAAACUUCAAAACUGAAGAGAAAAAGACCUUGAAUCUGCCUUAUUUAUUUUCUUUCGGUUGAAUCUGUUUUUGUUUGUUACAAAAGUUUCCAGGGAAGAGAAAAAAAAAGAGAGUUACAUGCUUGGCUUUUAUAGCCGAUAUUAAUUUCUAUUUUUUGUUUUCUUUUUCCUUUCUUUUCUUUGGCUGUUGCGUGUUUGCUUCCUUAUUGCAGGGUGAUUGACGGGAGUGGUUGGCGACAGAGUCGGUGGCCACUUGCACUGAUGAAGCAGCGGUGGCGGCGCUAGGGUAGGCUAGGGACGGCGGCAGUACUAGGGUUUCAGAAAACUGAAACCCUAGUUUGACAAAUUGGUUUCGGGCCUGUUGGGCUUUAAAUUAUGGGCUUUGUAAUUGGGUUUUGGGUUUAGGUGAUUUGGGUUUAGGUGGUAUGGGCCCGGGUCAAAUUUUGGGUAAUGGGAUUGGGGCAAAAUUGGGUUGUACAGUUAUAAUAUCCCAAACGAAAUCAAACUAUAAACAUUAAAUUUUUCGAGUCUUCUAGAUACUGUAAAAAAUUCAGCUCCAACGGACACCAAAUGAACCUAUGAUCGAAGAAAAUACGAAGACUAGUCUGGCUAAAUCAAUCUGCCAAACUUACUUUUUAUCUUAUCUUUAAUUUGCUGUGAAAUUCAAAACUACGUGUAAUACUCAAUUUAUGCUCGACCCAUUUUGUUAAAACAAAUAAAAAAGAAAAGAAAAACAAAAUAUUUAAAUUUAGCCCAAAUGUCCAUUUACACAGCCCAAUUACAAUUGCAAAUAAAAAAAACUAAAACUAAACCCGAUCCUAAGCAUCAGCCCAAAUUCGACCCAUGCCCAAAACGAAUUCAGAUGCAGAAACCCUAGCCCAGCCUUAAUGCAAGCAAAAGUCGAAAGCCCUAAUAGUUGGUGCGCCGCUCCUGUAACAGCCCGAUUUUGGGCCUAGUCGGAACAGUGGUUUUGGGACCACAAAUCCGACGAGAAAAAAAUGUAAUGGCCCGAAUUUUCAGAGGUGUCAGAACGGUGAUUCGAGAUCACUAAAUUCGACAAAUGGGUAGAAAAUAUUAUUAAUUUAGUAAGUAUAAGUUAAAUGUGAAGUUAGGAAAAUUUUUGAAAUGGUGAAUAGUACACUAGAAAUAAAUAUUAAAAUAAUUAGAAUCGAAAAUGAGGUAUCGAGACCUCGGGGAUUUUAAACCGAGCCAUAAAUAUUUUUAUAAAUAUUUAUGUAGUCUUAAAAAGUUAGUAUUAAAGUUUCGUUAAGAAAUUUUAAAGUUCCGAUAAUUAAUUGAACAAAAAGGACUAAAUUGUAACAAAUACAAAAUUAUGAGAAAUGAUUAAAUAGUUUAAAUGAUAAAAGGAAGAGGGCUUAAAAGGUAAAUAGACCCAAGGUCUAUUUGGGCUGCACGGCAAAGGCAUGAAAUCAGCAACAAAGUAAGGAGAAUUAAGGGCAAAAUUGGAAUAUUGCAAAAUUUACUUAAUAAAGUUAGGACCAAAGUGGAAUUAUCUAGAUUUCUCUUUAUUUUUCUGCAUUAUCAUCAGCAUAAACACCAUAGAAGGGUUUUCUUAAGCUGGUUCUUCCUAUUUUUACUGCAGGUAAGUUCAAUUCUUGAUUAUUUCUUGAAAAUUUUGUGUUUUUGUGACUUUUACAACUAGGCCCACUUAUUGUAUUCAUUAGUUUUUGAUUCUAUGAAAGAAGUUGAAAGUUGCUAUGAAUACAUGCUGGAAGUAUAUGAUGAUUUAGCAUGGAAUUAGAGCUUUAAAUUGUUCAUAUGCUGAUUUAUUGAAAGAAUUGAAUAGAAAGUGAAUGUUUGGGACCUAAUAGUAAAAGAGUUUGAAGAUAGAGUUAUAUGUGGAAAUUCUGAAUUUCAAUAGUUGUGAAACAACUUAUAAUGUCUAGGUUAAGUAUUAAUUGAGAAAAUUAAAUUAAUUGAGGGGUUAAUUGAGAAAGGACCGAAUUGUAUAAACUGUGAAAUUUGGGGCAAAAAGGAAAUCAACAUUUUACACUAAAGCAGUUUUGGACAGCAGCAGUAGUAUAACUUUGAAAAAUCACCAAAAAUUUUGAGAAUUGAAUUAGAGGGUGAAUAAAAUAUAAAAUUAAAGCUCCUUGAAUCUAGUUUCUCAUAGAAGAAACGGUGUAAGCAAUGGAAUUGUAAAUCAUGAGAUAUAAUAAAUUUUGUGAGACAAUGUCAUAAUGAUUUCGGGUUCCCCUAUUCUGACUUUGGAAAAUCAUCAAAAAAUUAAGAAAAAUAUGAGUUAUAAUUUAUAUGAUUACAAUCCUUAAUGAGUCUAUUUUCAAAGAAAAUAAACGGAAAUAUCAUCCAAAUUCUGUACAAUUAUAUAAUUCAUUUUUAGUGAAGAGUGGUCGAAACUGUCAGACAGCGAAAUAGGGGGAACUUUAAAGAAUAAACUGUACUAUUUGGCUGAACCAAAAAUUCUGAAAAUUUUAUGGUAAGAAGGUAUGUGAGUCUAGUUUUAAGGAAAAUUAACGGAUCUUAAUUUAGAGCUCUGUAGCUCUAGAUAAAAAUAAUUUAGUGACUCUGACUCAGAUAAAUAGCUUUGAAUGUACAUGUGAGUGAAUAGUGAAAUUAUAGCUAGUGUUGUUUAAGUGUGUUAUACACAUUAAGGAUAUGGAAUGGAGAGGAGGAGGAGGAGGAAAAAUUGGGAAAUAUAUGAAUGAUUUGUGUAUAAUUGGUCAUAUGCUUAAUUAUAAUUGAUAAACGAUGAAAUAGAAAUGAUGCAUAUAUUUGUGCAGUAUUGGUCAUGGUUUAAGCUCAUGUGGGAAAAUAAAGUUUAUAGUACGUGUGUAUUAUAUUUUUGGUAUAUGAUUUGGCAUUAAGUAAUGUCGUGAAUGGAUAUUGAAUUAACACAUGUUGGAAAGUUUGAUAUAUGAAUAAAUAUUGUGAUCAUGAAAGAGUGUUACAGCUCCUGCCUUCAGCACGCGUCGAGCCUCCGCGCCAAAUCCACGUGAGCCUCCGUACACUCCAACUAGCCUCCGUACCUGCAACAAACAAAAGUAGACAAAACAACAGCAAAGGAUAGGAAGAAAAGGCAGUAAAUAGUGAAGAUUUUUCUGUAAUUUUCUUUGGAUUUCAUUAUGUAUUUUCGGCUAUAAAAGAGCCAUUAGGAAUAUUUGUAAAGGGUUUUUUUUUUACCCUCACACACAAAGAGAAUAUACACGCAUACAAGAUCAAUAUAGAGAAAGAAAUAAAAAUAAAUAAAUACAAAGAAUAGAAAAUCAAGUUUCGAAGGUGAUUCUUUGAAAAAUCCUUUUCGUUUUUCUCAUUUUUCCUUUUUCCUGGAUCUUUUGUUCAUUUCAAGUAAAAAAAGUAUAGAAAGGAAACAAGUUUAGAGGAAGGAGGUUUACCUGGACGCCGGACCUCGCUCGCCUCGUCGAAAUCGAAGGCUGAGAGGGGAUAAAUCGGUUUUGCGGCAGAAGGAAAGGGGGGCUAGGGUUCUUGUUUUAACUUUUUUAAAAAAAAUAGAAAAGGUUGCUAAUUAGGUUUUAAUGGGGGAUUUAUGUGUGUUAAAAAAACGACGUCGUUUAGCGACCUUUGACCCGUGCGGUGACCCGACCCGAGGAAAGGAUCUGCGCGUUUUGGGUCUGAUGGGUUUAUUGCGCAACAAGCCCUUCCGCAUUUGUUUUUCGUUUCAAUUCGGUUUUUAUUUGUUUUUUAAUUGUUUUCUCAUAUUUAGUUCCAAUUUCAAUUGGGUCCAUGAUUAAACGACAUCGUUUUCAUUGAUUGGGUUUGAAGGCCUGGUUUUGUGCGUCUAAAUUGCAGCAAUGGUCCCCCUGAUGUGCAAUAGUUCUCGAUUUAGUCGUCUCCACACUUAUUUCAAAGUCGUCCUUGAGAUUUUGUUUUAUUUUUGAAAUUGUCCUUGUCUUCUUUUAAUUUAUAAUGAUAUUAUUAUUAUUGUUGUUGUUAUUAUUACUAUUAAUAUGGGUAUUGUUAUCAUGUUAGUUUAUAUCUAUUUAUUUACUUUUAUUUUAUUAUGUAUUAUUAUAUAAUGCUUUUAUCAUGUAUCAUUUUAUAUAUUUUCUAUGUUAAUCUAAUAUGAUAUAUAUAUAUAUAUGUAUUUUUGUGAUCUUAUUUUAUAAUACUUUUUUAACCCAUUUAUAUGCCUUUAUGUUUUAAAGAUUUAUAAUAUUUUGUGCAAAACUAUUAUAUAUAUAUAUAGAUAUACAAUUUAUAUUAGACCAUUUUUAUCGUACAUAUACGUAUAUAUAAUUUAUAUUUUGAAACUCUAUUUUAUUAUAUUUUAUGCCUCUAUAUACAUCAUUAUAUGUUUAUUAUUCUUUAUAUUAAACCUGCCAUUUCACUUAUAUAUUUUUAAAACCAAUGUGUAUUAUUCUUUCUUCUUUGUUAUUUUUUAUCUCUUAAAAUAGAUUGAUAAUUCAUUUAAUUUUUGAAUGUUGUAUGACCGAGAUUAUCGUUGCCAUUCUUGUCCAAAUUUAUCCAUUGCUUGUUCAUAUUAUUUGAUAAUUUAUCGCUCACUAGCAUGUAUCGUAAUUUACGAAUUAUCAUUUUGAAUUAUGUACUACCAUUCAAUCGCAUUACAUUUGUUUGGAAAACAUCGAAAUCGUUUUGCACAUAAACCUUCAAAAUGCUUGGUAUCCAAAAUUCUCGAGAGGAUUGUGCCCUAAUUUAUUGGGCUUCAAUUCCCCUUUUUGAUUUUAAAUAACCGAAUACCCCUUUUUCAAUUUGAACAUAGAAAUUCCAAAAUAAAAAAAAACUCAUUCUCGGGAAUUUGAUGCGUUGUGUCCUAACGUAUUGUAUAUGACAUAUUUUUCUCGAGACGAGGAUUUUUCUAACAAAUAAAAAUAAAGGCAAUAUUCGAUAUUUAGGAAUUUUGUGAAAUCGAACCCUAACUUACUGGGUUUUGAUUUUUUCAUUUGACCCAAGUAGGAUAUCCUUCACAAAUGCACAGAUUUUAAAAAAUCAAAAGAUAAACUUAAUUUCGAGGAUUUAAAAUGUUACACUCUGACUUACUGAGUGUGUCAAUUUAUUUCUUUGAAAUAAGUGAGUCUUAUCAUCCAAUUUAUUUUAUUCAAAUUUUCUUUUCCAAGGAUCGUAUUUUAAAAUUUUUUCAAAAUUUCGACAUUAAGACAUUAAGCAAUCAAUUCAGUACCAAUUUUGGGCGUCACGAGGGUGCUAACUCUUCCUCGUGCGUAAUCGACUCCCGAACCAGUUUUCUCAAAAUUCACAGACCUAAAAUUAUUUUCAAGGUGAUCCGAUCACACCACAAUAAAAGAUCAGUGGUGACUCCCAUUCCUAUUUUUAAAAGUCGAUUCCUGUUUUUCAUAUAUAAAAAAAUGGUUUCGACACUACGGUUUUGUUUGUUUCCCUUAGAACAACUUUCAAAAAGUUAAUUUUGAAAAAUGGAUUGAAUUUUCAAAAUAGAUGAUAUUUUUUUGUGUUAAAAUUUUAUUCGUUGUUUGAAAAAAAAAUUUAAAUCAUUUUCUUAGAAUUAUUUUUAGUGAAACAAAUAUAUCAUAAAUAUAUUUGUUAUAAAAUAUUAUAUUAAUAUUUUCUUUUAACAAUUAAAAUAUAUUUUGUGAUAAGGUAAUAUUUUAUAAUAAUUAAUAUCAUAUAUACUUAAUAAUAAAUCAUGUCUAAUUAAAAUUUAAUUUCAAUUAAAUAUAUUAAUAAAGCUACAUUUAAUCAUAUUUUAUAUAAUUAAAAUAUUAAUAUAAAUAUUUUUCAAUAAUAUAUUAAAGAAUAUUUAAAAUUUAAAUUUAUUAUUACUAAGAUUAAUUAUUAAAACAAAAAUGUAAUAUUAAAUAAUUUAUCCAAUGAUAAGUUAUAUUAAUAAUUUAUUAUAUUAUUAAAUAUAAAUAAUUAAAUAUGUAUGUUUAAUAAUAUUAUGUUAUAAUAUUUAUUACUAAUAUUUUAAUAUUUUUAAACAACCAUGUUUUAAAGAUGGUGGUGAUGGUGAUGGUGCAGGCCCCCUUGUUAAAAUUACAAUAUUUUUAAGUGGGAUGCAUGUAAUAUAUUGUUAGGGUUUUAGAGUAUGUGGUCUUUAAAAGGGUUAAAUUAUAUAUUUAUAUAAUAUGAUUAUUGUUUAUAAACAUAAUAUUGUAGAUAAGUUUAUAUGUAUGUCAAUAUGUAUCCUACUCUAAGGUUAAUAUGUAUUUUUUAGAUGUGGGUUUACCUAUAUAAUAGUAUGAAUCCAUCAUGUGGUCUCAUGAAAUAUACAAACACAUAUCGUGCGAACACAAAGUACGAACAAUAAAAAAUACAAAUCAAGACCCAAUUGAAUAAUUGAAUAACGGAUAGGUAAUAAUGAAUAUCAUAACAUUUACUAUCCCCUCUUUUCUAGUGAGUUAUUGUUUAUGAUAAAUUUGCAACAAAUGUUUUUAUCAUUAUUUUGUUGGUAAAUGAUAAUAAGAUUAAACAUUACUUUCUUAAGCUCCUUCAAUUCUUUGGACGUUAGCGAGUAAACUUGAGCUUCAGCAUUCCACAAACACCUUAAUUUGAAGACACAGUUCUCUCAUACUAAAAACGACAUGGACGUUUACCUUGUAAUUAGAGAUUUGGGCUCAUUGUUGGGUUAUUAAUGAUACGGGGAUGGAGAGCUUUAAACUGGGUAUGGUUGGCCCCAAAGAGGCUCGAAACGUGCUUGAGACUAGAGGUGAUCAAGGGCCGGGUUAGGCCCAGUCUAGAAAAAAAAUUAGGCCCAUUUUUUAGAUUUGAACUCGGCUCGGCUCAAAAUAUAAGCUUAAAAAUUUGUCUAAGUUCAGUCCGAAAGAAAAUUGUUAAGCCCAAGCUCGACCCAUAUUAAAUUUUACAACACCAAAAAAGUAUAUUUAAAUAAAAAUAAAAUAUAUAUAUUUAAUAUAUAAUUCGGGCCGAGCUGAACUCGGGCCAAAAAAGUUUUACUCGGGGCUGGUCCGUUUUCUAAACAGACUUCGUUUUUUUUGCCAAAAUCCAUAUUUUUACCCGAAUCUUCCUAUUUUUUGGGGUGUGCCGUCGGGCCGAACUGGGUAACCGAACCAAUGAUCACCUCUGUAAUCACUGAAUUUUGUCCGGGAAUAACUUUCGUUAAAAAAAUUUUAAAAUUAAAAAAAAAUUAACUUUUUUGCUUUUUGACCCCUAAACUUUUCUAAAAUUUCAUUUUAACCCCUAAACUUUCUCAAAAUUACAGUUCAACCCCUAAACUUUUCUAAAUUACAUUUUGACCCCUAAAAUUUCUUAAAAUUACAUUUGGACCCUUACACUUUCUCAAAAUUACGUUUCGGCCCCAAAAUUUUUGCUACAUUUACAAAUUGGUCCUUCUGUCAGAAAAUCCCCAAUAAUCCGGCGGAUUUCGUGCACCUGCCCCACUAUUUCCGGCAGCCGGCCUAGGGCAUGGCCUUCCCCACCUGCUACCUGCAAACAAGAAGCAAAAUCAACUAUAAAAAGGAGUUUAAACUCCAAAAAUCGGACCCCCACCCACGAAAAAAAUAAAAAAAAAAAACUUGAAAGAAAAAGAAAAAAGCUUUGAGAAAGAAAAAGAAAAGGAAAAGAAGAGAGGGGAGAAGGAGAGGCCGACCAUCGGCGAGCCACCGGAGGAGGCGACGGCAGCAGCGGCAUCGACGGCGGCGUAGAAGACCGAACGGAGAAGAAGAAGAAGAAGAAAAAAAAAGAAAGAAGAGAAAGAAAGAAGGAAGAAGAAGAAGAAAGAAACAAAAAAAAAAGAAAAUAUUUUGUAAUAGUCGGCCCGGCCCGACUCGACCUGCACGACCCGUGACCCGACCCGACAGCACCAGCAACCUAGCAGGCCACGGUAGCAGCCCGGCGGCCCAAAGAGUAGCCCAAAAAGAAAAAAAGAAGAAGAACAAAGCAAAAAAAAAAAGCAGGCCAUUUUCAGCAGGCCCAGUGCAGCCCAGCAGACCCAGCGAACCCAGCAGGCCAGGCCCACACGCAAGCAGCCCAACAGAAAAAAAGGGAAAGAAAAAGAAAAGAAAAAAGAAAAAAGAAAAAAGAAGAAGAAGGGGUUCAAUUUGUAUUAUCCGUUCGGCGAAGCUCGUGUUUUGAGGAUUUUUUUUCGGUAAUUUUAUUUUUUAAUUUUAAUUUAAUGCUCGUAUUUUUUUUAAAUAUUAUUAGUAUUUUAUGCAUUUUUAUAUUUUGGCAUUUAUAUUUUUAAUUUAAUUUACUUCAAUUUUUAUUUUAUUUUAUUUUAAAUAAUUUUAAUAAAUGAGGCAACGAAUCGAUUUAACAUAAAAUCGUUGAUUUCAUUGCUAUGUUGGGUGAAUAUCAUCGGUUUGUGUUAAACACGAUACACCCUUUUUAAAAAAAAGAAAAAAAUCGAAAAAAUUCUAAAAUUCUCAUUUUUUUAAAAUUCUCGUGUUUUAAUAGAAUCACGAUUAAAUAUUAAGUUGAAUCGAUUUGGCACUAAUUCGAUGAUUUCAUCUCCAUGUAGGGAUGAAUAUCAUUUAUUCGUGUUAAAUAUGGUACUUCUGAAAAAAAAUCGGGUUUCAAAAAUUUUCGUGUUUUCAAAAAUUCUCAUGUUUCAAAAAUCUUCGUGUUUUAAAAAUUCCAGUGUUUCAAAAAUUUUCGUGUUUUCAAAAAAAAAUUUCUCGUGUUUUUAAAAAUUCCCGUAUAUCGAAAUUUUCUUGUUUUCAAAAAAAAAAUUCCAUGUUUCAUAAAUUUCCGUGUUUUCAAAAAAAAAUUCUUGUUUUUCAAAAAUUUUCGUUUUUAAAAAAUUUGACCGUGUUUCAUAAAUUUUCGUAUUUCAAAAAAACCUCGUGUUUCAAAAUUUUCGGGUUUUUUUAAAAACAAUUCGUGUUUCUAAAAUUCUCGUAUUUUAAAAAAAAUCGUGUUUUCAAAAAAAGAAAAAGUUGUUGUGCUUUAAAAUUAUCGUGUUUCAAUCGGAUCACGAUUAAUAUUAAAUUGAACUCGUAUUUUUGAAAAUGAAAACAACGCGCGUUUAACGAGAUACCAAUUUUGGGCGUCGCGAGGGUGCUAAUACCUUCCUCGCGCGUAACCGACUCCCGAACCUUAAUUUUCUCUGAAUUUUUACGUGGACCUAAAAUUACCUCUUUUUAGAAAAGUUUAAAAAUGAAUUUUUCUUCUAAAAAGAGAAUUUUGUAGGUGUCCGAUCACACCUAAAAAAAGAUCGGUGGCGACUCCUUUUUUUCAAAUAAAAUCGAGAUUCAGUUUUCAAGUUUUUAAUAAUUACUUCGACAAGCGCCCGUGCGCAAAAUUUUUAAGUCGCUACAGCCUCUACUUGAGACAACAGGGUUUUGCAGGGAAUUCUUACAGGUUCGUUUCUGGCGACAAAAAAGAGCUCUUCACUAUAAGCAUACAAACAAGAGCCAAAACUAUGCCUCUUAGUGAUGAUAUUAGGCCUUAUGUUAUUCCUUUUCAACAUCAAACCGUCAACCGGUAUGGUAUGUUUUUUUUAUUUAAUCUGCAAUUUGUGAUAAUUCUUUGUUAUUUAUGUAUGGAAUUUAUUGGGAGGAAAUGCUGGAAAGAAUUCAUUUACGAGAAUUGGUCCAAGAUCAAGGGUGAACAUUACGGACCCUGAAAAAUAAGAGAAAUACUUAACAAAUUUAAUGACUUCCAGAAGAUACGUACCAAUCCACUGCUUAAUUUGCUUGUAAGCGGCCUUGUUAACCUCGAAGGAGACCGAUGGAGCAAGCAUAGAAAAAUCAUAACCCUUGCAUUUCAUCAAGAUAAGUUGAAGGUAUAGAAUAGUAAUGGGUACUCAAGACUUUAAAGAAAACAUCAUACUUAAGCCUAUGCUUUUCUGAUUUAGAAAUAAUUGGAUGCAGAAUAUGUUGCCAGCAUUUUAUCAAAGUUGUAGUGACAUGUUUAAGCAAAUGGGAGAAGAUGGUGUGUACAGAAGGAUACAUUGAGUUAGAUGUGUCGCCUUAUCUCGUAGAUUUGACAAGAGAUGUUAUUUCCCGAUCUGCUUUUGGAAGCAGCUUCGAAGAAGGCAAACGAAUUUUCCAAUUACUAGAGGACCAACUCGUUCUCACAAUCAAAUUAAUACAAACUGUUUACAUUCCAGGAUGGAGGUAACCGUCUACUUUAAUUUACUUGAAAAAGGUUGCAAAUGUUGGAAUUGGCUAAAUUCGUGUUUGUUUUCUUGAAGGUUUUUGCCCACAAAGACAAACAGGGAGGUGAAGAUGAAACACAAAGACAUAAAAGAGUCGCUCAGGGAAAUGAUAAAAAGAAGAAAGCAGGCAAUUAAAGCAGGGGAAGAGAGUAAUGAGGACUUGUUGGACAUACUUGUGGAAUCCAAUAUCAGAGAAAUGGAAGCAAAGAAUAUGGGGAUGAGCAUUGAGGAUGUGAUUGAGGAAUGCAAGCUGUUUUACUUAGCUGGCCAGGAGACCACUUCGGUCUUACUGGUGUGGACUAUGGUUUUAUUAGCAAGGUAUCCCGAUUGGCAAAGUAAAGCAAGAGAGGAGGUUUUGCAUGUUUUGGGUGACAGUAAACCUGAUGCUGAUGGCCUUAAUCGUCUCAAAGUUGUAAGUCCCUAGCAUGUCUCUUGAAGGCCCGAUCUCUGAGGUCGACAACUCAAAAACUUGGUUCUUUGUUUCGCUAAUUCUACAGUUAACAAUGAUAUUGUACGAGGUUCUAAGGCUGUACCCACCAGUGAUUGAGCUAGGACGUUCCGUUCCAAAAGAAAUAAAACUGGGAAAUUUGUUGUUACCAGCAGGAACAGACGUUUCGGUUCCAAUCCUGCAGAUCCACCAUGACAAAGAUCUUUGGGGCGACGCCGCACGGGAAUUUAAGCCACAGCGGUUCACGGAAGGGGUUUCCUAAGCAACAAAGAGUCAAGUCACGUUUCUGCCAUUCGGAUGGGGUCCUAGGAUCUGCAUUGGCCAAAACUUUGCCAUGAUGGAAGCUAAAAUGGCGAUGGCUAUGAUUCUCCAACGCUUCUGGUUUGAGCUUUCCCCUUCCUAUGCUUACUCUCCUUACAACAUGGCAACUCUUCGUCCACAGCAUGGUGCACAGAUAAUUUUACAUAAACUUGGCUGUAAUUGAAUUGUUAUGUAAGCAAAUCUUUGUGAAAAUAUAGUGUUUUAGUGUAUCGUCAACGUCUGUCUGUAAUGGUACAAUUCCGAUGCAUGAAUAGUAAAUUUUGAGAUGUUUGGUGAAGUCCGAAAUAAUAUGCAGAAAUUGAGUGUCUAUGGUGGACAUAGUUGAGGGACUAAUGUGGUAAUUAUCAAUCAAAUAAUUCGGUACAAAGACUUAUAUGGAAAUUAAAGCAGGGGGAGUUGAAAAUGACUACUCUGCUUUGGGCAUCAAUUUAGAAAGAUUUAAAGUACAAAUGUGUUAUUAGUUAAGGGAUUUGUUUUAAAGAGGGAAUGACAAUUAAACCUCAUGGUUGAUUUGUGGAAGGGAACCAAUGAUGGGAUGAUUACUCUUAGUGGUGAAAAAAAAACUAUUAAGGUGGUUAUUAUAGUUGUUAUCACCAGCCUAAAAUUUGAAUAGGUUCAGGUCGGAUUAUAUUGAGCUUGCAAGAUUAGUUCACGGACCAAACUUGCAUGAUAAUAGGUAUUCACAACAAGAUAUCUAUAGUUUCCAACAAAGUCACAUGUGAGAUCGUGCAUUAGAACCGCAUAAACAUGUUUUAUGUUUAGAAUAUGAUAUGUGUCUAUGUGUAUAGAAUCUACCUAAUAUAUCAUAUUAAUGAAUAGUAUCAAUUGCGGAGCCAAAAAAUUAUUUGUGAGGGGUCAGAAUUAAAUUGUAUAUUUUUACAAAAAUAAAAAUUAAAUUUCACUAUUUUAAUAGUUUAUUUAUUUUUAAUUUUUAAAUGAUUAAAUUAAAUUUUAUAAAUUUUUAGGAUCAAAGUAUAAUUUUAUCAUUACUAAUUUAAAAUUUUAUAAAUUAUAAAAAGUUUAUAUGAAAAGUUUUCUAUUUUAGGGUGGCCAAAGCCCCUGUCAACUUCUGACUCGAUCACUUGCGGUUAGUUGGGUAAAGACUCAAGAAAAAUAGCGGUGUGUUUGGAUGGACGGUGCGUUUACUUGCGGUUAGUGUAAAAAUAGCGGUGGCGGUGAGAUUAGAUACUAUAGCAACACUGUAGCGUGAGACAAAAAGUAAGUUAAACGCACUGCACUGCACUUAAUCGUCUAUCUAAACUCACCAUAAGUGUCUAAAAUAUGAUUUAAGUGAAGAUACGUGGGGUAGGUGUCAUGGAAAUGUAAAAAAAAAAAAGAAUCCUACUAAUGUAUGGGAUGUGUACAAUUGAAUGCAGGAGUGAAUCAUUUGGGUAACAUUUGGACAAGAAACAUAAUGAACAAAAUGAAAGGAGAGGAAGCUAGUAAUAAAAGAUUCUUUUGGGUUAUAUAAUUUGUUUGGCAUAUAUUUUUAUAAUAUUUAAAUAUCAUUUUGGAGUUGUUGAAUUAUAAUUUAUUUUUAUGUUUUAAAACAUAAUUAUUCUAUUUUUAGAGGUCAGAGUAGAGGUGAGCAUGAGUCGGGCUACUCGGCUCGGGCUGAAGGCUUGCGCAAAAUGUGAGAGAUUUGGGUAAAAAUAUAGGCCCGAAAAAUGAGUUUAGACAAAAAAAAAUAUAAGGCCCGUUGAAAAAACAGGCUAGGCCUUGGGUAAGGCAUUUUGGCCCCAGACCCGGCCCAACCCAAAUUCACUAAGGGCACGUUUGGUUCGCUGUAUUGGAAUAGAGGCGUAAUGUAAUAGAGGCGUAAUGGAAUAGAGACGUAAUAGCAAAUCAAUUGUUUGGUUGAAUGUAAUGGAAUAGAGGCGUAAUAGUAUUCUUAUAUUUGGUUGAAUGGAAUAGAGUUGUAAUAGCAUAAGGAAAAAAGUUAAAAUGACUAGAAUACCCUUAGCAGAAAUUUGUUUAGAUAAAUGAUUAUUGUUAUUGUUAUUAAAUUUUAAUAAGAUUAUUAAUAUCAGUAAUAAAUAAUUUAAUCAUAUUUUAACAUAAUUAUUAUUAAAUAUAAUUUAAUAAAAAUAUAUAAUUUAAUAAAAUUCUUAAUAUUAAAUAUUCUUAAUAUUAAAUUACUAAAAUCAUAAUAUAUAAUACUAUAAAAUAUAAUUUAACAUAAUUAUUAUUAAAUAUAAUUUAAUAAAAUUCUCAAUAUUAAAUAUAUUCUUAUAUGAAUUUACUAAAAUCAUAAUAUAUAAUACUAUAAAAUAUAAUUUAAAAUAAUUAUUAUUAAAUAUAAUUUAAUAAAAAUAUAUAAUUUAAUCUAAAGUUUGAAUGUGUAUUUACCUAGCAAAAAUCAAUGAACUCUCGUGUAACUAUAACCUUAAUAAUAUAUGAUGUAUAAUUAAUAUUUCGUGACUAAUUAAUAGCAUAGAGAUAAAUAUAGUAAUGACGAAUUUAUAGUAUACGAUUAAAAUGCUAAUAAUUUAUAGUAUACAAUUAAAAUAUUAUAAAUAAAAUAAUAGUAAAUGAUAUAUAAGAUAAAUUAACAUAUAAAUAAUUCAGAUAUGUAAAGGAUAUGGCUGAAUAUGGUUGCUCCAAUAAUAAAGGAUAUAUAAUAUAUCAUGGUGUUGUUUUGUUUAGAUAGUUCGGUAACUUAGGAGGGUAUGUAUGAAGAACACAAGUUGAUGCAGAUAGAAAGACGACAAUAUUACAUGAUUACAAUAUGAUAUAGUAUAUAUAUAUAAUUUAUGGAUUCCUUGCAAUCACGUGGGUUCUCUAGCCAUUUUAUUUAGCAUAUCCAGUGAUAUUAAGAUCCAGAAUUAUAAUACAACUAAAAUCUGUGCACACUUAUGGAUGAUCCAACAAAGCCUCAGUUGGCUUUAGGUUCCAAAUCUUGCAACCCACAAACCAUAUUUGCUGGCACUGCAACAUCAAUCAUCUUAGGAUAUGCCAAGUUAAGAUCUGUUGCACCAACAAAAACAGAGGAGAAAUUGGAAGGCGAUCCGAAAAAACCCAAGGAUGCUUUUUCUUUUCUUUUUUUUUUAUAAUCUUUAUAGACUGGUUAUAUUGAGCAUCAACUUACUUUCCAUGAUGUUUUUGAAAGUCUCUUACAAAAAGGGUAUUCAACAAAUAAUAUAAUCAGACAUAUUGAUAGGACAAAUUGAAACUAGUAUUCUAUGAUCAUAAUAAAGAGUAAUCUUUAAUCAAAUGCGUGAAGGUAUUGAGAUGUCAUGCUUUUUCAUGAUUUCCUGUUUUACCAUGGCGAUGUUCAUUGGAAUAGUCCCAUCCAAGAGAAUCAAACCAAUGCUCAGCAAGAAAUGUUCAAUGCAUAUGUAAUUUUAAUUACAGAAGUUAUAUGCAGCUUAUAUGAGUUCAAGAUCAUAAAAUACUUCAUGGACAAAAGGAAACCCUUUCUUAUCACUGAAAUGAAAAUAGGCACUCUUAAUUUUCUAUUGUCAAAAGUAGCAAGCCAUUUUCCAAAGAAAAGGGAAGAUGGAUGGUUCCAGAAAGAAUACCUCAUCCUUUGUCAAGUGUGGAUUAUAUAGCAUCUCCUCUCCCACAGUGGUUACCUAUAAUCAAUGAGGUUUAUAAAAUCGAGCAAUCAUUUAUAUAUGUAAGAAAUGAUAGGAAUAAAGUUUUAUAUCUUACUGAGAAUCCUUUGUAGUCAUGAGCUGGAUAUAGCAAUGUCUCUUUCGGUAAUGUAAAAAUCUGGAUCCAUGAAACAAAUAAGUCCAUAAAUUUUAUUCAAAUUUUGACAAUUACAAUAAAAUUUUGAGAACUCAAAGAAUGUGACCAUAAAAAGUCCCCUGUCCUUACCUGUGAAUGCACUGACUUGUAGAGUUGCUGUGAACUUCCACCCUGCAAAAUGCAUUAAUCAGUGCUAGUCAAUGGCUACUGAAUGUGGGAGCAUUAGAGAAAAUUAUCUUAAAAACUUAAGUAUAACAAAAUUAGACAAUGACAUCCAGAUGGAAAGAAAUUGCCAGCAUAUAAGACCAGCAUUUAUGUACUCACGACUGAAAAUCCUUUGCAAAAAGUAUAGCCCUGAUAGUUCAAACUUUUACUUCAAGGAUGAUUUAAUUACUGAUUAGUUUGCCAUGAGGCUUGUGAAUGACAAACACUUUAUGUGCAACCACAGUAACAAGGUAAGCACCAAUAAGUAGAAGACUAGACGAAUAGGUAACCAAGAGUUAGAGCUAAAACAGACAAACAGAGCUACUAUCCAAUGAGCUAAAACAUACAAACAGAGGUAUAUUUUAAUAAUGAAAAUAAUCGAUUGCCUUAAACACCAUAUAGUGUUCCAAUCAAUCAAAUUAUAGCAGGCAUUAAAACCUUUCCCUUUCGUUAAUUCACAACUAUUAGCUUCAUUAAUCAAAUCCUAUGUACAGUUGAUCGAUUGAAAGUGUAACAUUUCAAAGACGAAAUUUAAACGCAAAACUGGUUAACAUUGAAAUUACAUGUAAAUAUAACCUAAAAAAUCAAAAAAUUAAUCAUAUUUUCAGAUUUCAGGCCGAAAUGGAAUGAAAUGAAAGGUAAAUCCAUUUUUUCCCCAAAAAAACAAAAAUAAAGAAAUAAUAUUUCAAGAACAGAUCAUUAAAUUCAUGGUAUAUAUAAAGAAAUUUAAUUGAAAUCAAAGGAAUAGAAGAAGGGAAAAGCGUACUUGGAACCAUUGCUGCUACUCUCUGUUACUCUGUUACCUCAUACGAUUCGUUAAAGGGUUGUUAGGGUUUGUUAAAAGGUUGGUCAGGAUAGAAGCAUGAAAAGGAGGGAGAAGGUUGGAAGGAAAUGGGAAGAAAAAUGAAAAAAAGAAGAAGAUGCUGCAACGGCUUGGAGGGUAAAAGAGGACCGAUUAGGUAAUCCUUUCUUUUGGAAGGGAUUACAAAUCGGCGCUGCAUAAGGGAAAAUGGGGAAUCAGUGCGCUGCGUAAUAGGCCCGUAUUAAGGCAAUACAGCCAACCAAACAUGGUAAUCAGUGGGGCCACGAAUUAGGGGUGUAUUGGCUAAUCCAAUACACCCAACCAAACAUGCUCUAAAGGACAAAAAAAUUUGAUUUUUUAAAUAUUAUUUUCUCUCUAUUUUGCUAUCAUUUUACUAUUAUGUUGCUACUAUGUUAUUGUUAUUUUUGAAUAUUGUAUAAAACUUAUUUUAUUGUUAAUUUUGUUAUUAUUUUAAAGACAUUUGUUAAUUUUGUUAUUAUUUUAGAGACAUUUGUUUGUUAAGUUGCAUCUAUCUUAGUGUUAUUUAAGUAUACAUAUUUUUUAAAAUUUAUUUUCAAUUUAUUGGGAAAUAUUUAUUUUGAUGUUUUUAGUAUUUUGGAUGUAUUAUAUAUAUUAAAAUUAUAUAAAAAUUAAUAUGGCCGAGCCAGGUCAGGCCCAGAUUUUAGCAUUUUUAUUCAGGUCGGGCUUGAGCAAAAUUUUAAGCCCAUUUUUUGGGCCAAACCAGGCCUGGGCUUAGCAAAUGGGCCUAAAUUUUUAGUCAAGCUCGACCUAAACCCGAUCCGGCCCAUGCUCACCUCUAGAUCAGAGCUGCCCUCGCUUUGCAUUUCUUUGAGAUUCAGUCUUAUCUACUGUUGAUUGCCCACUCAAUGGAGGGUUGAGUAGAAAGAUUUGGUGAAGCAAGCUAAGCUAUCAAUCAAGGUUGGAGAAAGCUUAGGAGGUCACAAUGCAUAAUUAUUUAAAUGUAAUUCUAAUAUUUAAAUAAAAUUUAUUAAUAUAGUAUUAACAAGCCCUAAAUGUAAUGAUUAUAUACUAUUACAUUUUUAAGAAGAGAAAACAUGUUUGAACCUUAAAAACAUCAUUAUUAAAAAUGAUAAUUACAAAUUUUAAAAUAUAAAAAAUAUAAUUAAAAAUUAAUUUUAAACCCGAGCUGGAUAAAAUUCUAAUUUUAGAUAACGAUACUAAUAAGAAAUCAAUAUUAAAAUGAAAAUGAAAAGUAAUUUAAUAUAAUUUUUGAGUCUUGGGCAAAGGCACUCAAUGAAUGCUUGGAAAGAAAUAAUGCAACUUGGUGAUAGCUUUUGUUGGAGUAAUAUGCUCUUAUUAUAGUUUUAUGUUUUUAUCUUGCAAAAACAACAUAUUGGAGUUUUCGGCAUGAUUUUUUCUUAAUACUUUACAUGAAAAAUAAUAAUGGGACUUAAAUUGCUACAAUAUUACAACACAAAGUUACAAUAAGAGCUUAUAACUCAACAAAGGCUAUCAAUAAAUAAUCUCAGGCAAGCUAAAGAGAAAUGUUGAGAAUACCACCCGAAUAGUGACUGACUUUAAAAGUUGAAAACCCGAAGCUAUAUUAUCUCAAACGAAAUCAAACCAUAAACAUUAAAAUUUUCAAGUCUACUAGUUACUGUAAAAAAUUCAGCUCCAACAGACACCAAAUGAGCCUUUGAUCGAAGAAAGUACGAAAAAUAGUCUAGGUAAACCAAGCUUCCAAACUUACUUAUCUUAUCUUUAAUUUGCAGUGAAAUUCAAAAUUAAGAUUUUGUUUAUUUCACUUGGAACAACUUUCAAAAAAUUAUUUUUGAAAAAUGAAUUGGUUUUUCGAAAUAGAUGAUAUUUUAUUGUGUCAAAAUUUUAUUCAUUGUAGGAAAACUUUUUUUAAAUCAUUUUCUUAGAGUUAUUUUUAGUUAAAUAAACAUAACAUAAAUAUAUUUGUUACAAAAAAUUAUACUAGUAUUUUCUUUUGACAAUUAAAAUUUAUUUUAUGGUAAGACAAUAUUUUAUAAUAAUUAAUAUCAUAUAUAUACGUAAUAAAAAUCAUGUUUAAUUAAAAUUUAAUUAAAAUUAGAUGUAUUAAUAAAGCUACUCCUCCACAACCCGCAUCCGCAACAGCACCAGCACCAGCACCAGCACCAGCAUCAGCACCAUGGGACAACUAUUGGGUUUCCUCCACCUGCCUCUAUCGCUCCUCCUCAGUAUUACCCCCAAGCCUACCAGACCGUGCCGGGUAUUCUACAAAUAUGAAAAAACCUUCUUCUCUUUUUAUUAGCUUAUCGAAAUGAAGGAUUUUGAGAUUUGGGCUUUUGUUAGAUGGAUGGUUAAUGAUAUUUUUUAGAUGAAAGAUACAAGUUUUUUAAUGUUUUAGAAGAAAAGGUGUUUAAAUAUUAGGAGUUUUUUAGCAGAGAAAGAAGAUAAAUAAAUGCAUAGAGAUACAUUAGCAAUAUUAUUUGGAUUUGGUUGUCUAAUGUAAUGAAGAAUUUUUUAAGGGUGACCUGAGUAGGUGUGGCAAGAUUCAAAGUUUUUUCUAUUAUAGCAGAUAUAUAUAUAUUAAUGGUUUAAGAAGACUAGAAGUCGGUUUCAAAGGAAGAUGAGAAAUAAAAGCAUUUAUAUAUAUGAUAUGUCAUUAAUUCAUAAACCAAAUAUAUAAAGUAUGUAAAAGUGUCAGGGGUUAAUCAUGGUGUUUUGACAAUCCGGUAACCUUCAACUUGAAGAAAACCUUAGGUUUCAAAAAUUUAUGUGAAGAGUUAGAAUGGUAUGCUUCAUGGAUCUGAAUAACUAGAACAGUGUAAGAGUGGUAUAUUGUGUCAAGUUUGGUUUCUUGUAUAUAAUUGUAUCGAAAACAAUGUUACAUGAGUUAAAAUGAAUGUUCAUCCAAUUUAACAAAGCCUGCAUUAUGUUGAUCAAAAUUUUUAAUUCAUGUUGAGGUUUCUUCCGUGAUAUCUUUGAUGUCAAGGUUAUGAUGUUGCUGAAGGGACACCUGUAAGAGAUAAGCCACCGUGCUGUGGCAUUGGAUUCGGAUGGUUCUUGUAAGUGUACAUAGUUUUCUUUGUUUUUAAAGAGUUCUUUACAUAUGAAGUAAAACAAGUAGCGACUUGAUGGAUAUGUCAUUAAGCUUUAACUUAAGCAAAUCAUUUUCCUUCAUCUCUAAUUGCCAUUUCUUUAAAAGAAAAAGAGGAAGUUUUGUAGUUUACAGUUUGGACAAAUGGAAGUUAAUAUAAUGCACUAUUUGGAUGGACUAUGGAGAUAUCCAAUCAUAUUGGAUGAGUUAUAAGAAACCUGUGAGUUCAUAUUGGGUUUACUUUAUAUCAUAAUUAGAUUGUUGAGCUGGCUGUCAUACUUAGAUGGUAUUUCACGUUGCUACUUGUUAAACUAUACCACUUUCACAUUCAUACGUGAAAUGGCUGGGAUUUAGUGCCAUUCUACUUAGCAGCCUCGUGUAAUACACAGGUGAAAUGUUUAUGUCUUCAUGUCACCUUAAAGUUCCCAUUUCCAUGACGGUAUUGUUAAGUAAAGACUGGUACAUACCCCAAAAUACGGAAAUUGUUUUGGAUGUAUACUAUACUUUACCAUGCAUGAUUUUUUACAAGUUUGCAUGGUAUUUUAUCAUUAUAUUGGUCUUUAUUUUCUAUACUCGCAGCUUCCAUUAAUAUAUUUUUAUGAAUUUUAUCAUUAUGCUGGUUUGAAGGUUCAUCAUUGGUUUCUUCAUUGGGGGCCAUCCCUGGUAUAUUGGAUUCUUUGUUUUACUUUGUGCAAGGAUAGACGACAGAGAGAAAGCAGGAUAUAUUGCAUGCACAAUUGCCGUGAGUAUCUUUUCUAUCAUUAUUUUUUUCUUUUCCAAUUUUAUGAAAGCCAUCCUUCCUGCCUUGUAUUGAUCAUCAAUUUAACCAUUAUAUAUAUGUAUCUUAUGUAUUUGUACCAUGCUUUAUCUUCAAUGCAAAUAUAAGUUAAACUACAAAGAUUGGAUUGUUAAAAAAAGUUUAAAAUGUUAAAAAAAUUGAAAAUUUUGAUUUUGUAAGAAUGAUAGAAAACCAAGGCCAGUGCUUGCAUAUGUUAUCUACUACAUGCACAAUCGGGUCGAUGUCUGUAUAUGUUUCAUGUUUAGAAAUCGUGUUCAAUUGGGUUACGAUAUGUACAAUUGAAGUGUCAAUUUAUAAUUUCCUUAUCAAGAUUACACAUUUUUUUGUUAAUAUUCGGAAUCACUCAAUGGUUAUAAACCCUGAUUGGAUACUGUCCACAAAGUCUAGUUGGAACAUCCCUUGUAUUCUUUGUCCUUUCUAAGAACUUUCCUUUCCAUCAUUCUCGCUUCUGUUUUUUUUUUCUUCCCUCUACUUUAAGUCAUUAUCUAACGUAGAUAUCCCUUGUAUUCUUUGUCCUUUCUAUGGCAAUCGAGUCAAUUGAUGGCAAGCCAAAAAAACAAAAAGAGCAGCUAUCCUGUCUUACUCGAUUGCCAUCCCUCCUGUUAAACACCAUUAAGAAAAGGAAAAUUUUAGUUAAGCUUUAAAACAGCCAUGUUUUAACGAUGUUGGUGAUGGUGCUUGUGCAGGCCCUUCUUGCUACAAUUACAAUUAUUCUUAGUGCAACAAUUAAAGCUGGUGGGUGAUAAAGCACACCUCUUUUGACUGAGAGAUGUAUAGGUUCCCAAAUAAUAUGUAUAUGCUCCCCCCCCUCCCUUUAUUUUAUUUUAUUUCCAGUAAGUUAUUGUUUAUGAUAAUUUGCAACAAAUGUUUUUGUCAUUAUUUUGUUGGUGAAUGAUAAUAAGAUUAAGCUUUACUUUCUUAAGCUCCAAUUCCUUGGACGUUGGUGAUUUUUUUAUUAUAGUUGAGUCAUUGUAUGGUAUUAAUAUAAUUUAUGUCGCUUAAAAUUUAUAACUAAAAAUAUAAAAUUUAAAUUUUACUUCAAUUUAUUUGUAUUUAUAAAUGGUUAAUUCAAACUUAUUUUUUUCCUCAUUAUAUUUUAUAUUUAAAUUAACAUUUAAACUAUUUUUCAUUAGCAAUGUUGUUAAGAAUUAUAUUUUUUAGCACCAACAUCAAACUUACUAAAAUUAAAUUUUUAACUAUUUAAAAAAAAUAUUUUUAGCUAUUUAUCAUCAUAGAGAAAAAAAGGUGACGUCACCACGCCUCAUGCUUCGACACCACAAACUAGACUCUCAUCACCCGUAUUUAUCAUCGAUUCAAAUUCCAGAACUACCUAAAAAUAUAUCUUCAAACUUCCUCUGGUUAAGUUCAUUGAUAGUCAACUUACUAUCAUUUCUAAAAAAAAAACAAAUAAAUUGGUUAAUAGUAAUCUCAAUGAUUCAAUUUUAUUCUUACCAGUAUCUGUCCUUUAGAAAGGGGCUUAUAAAAGGGGUAGAGGUGAGUAAACUUGAGCUUCAGCUUUCCACAAACACCUUAAUUUGAAGACACAGUUCUCUCAUACUAAAAAAGACAUGGAAGUUUACCUUGUAAUUAGAGAUUUGGUUUCAUUGCUUGUUGUUGGGUUAUUAAUGAUAUGGGGAUGCAGAACUUUAAACUGGGUAUGGCUGGCCCCAAAAAGGCUCGAAAGCUGCUUGAGACAACAGGGUUUUGCAGGGAAUCCUUACAGGUUCCUUUCUGGUGACAUAAAAGAGCUCUCAACUAUGAGCAGACAAACAAGAGCCAAACCUAUGCCUCUUAGUGAUGAUAUUGGGCCUUAUGUUGUUCCUUUUCAACAUCAAACUGCUAACCAGUAUGGUAUGUUUUUUUUGUUUAAUCUGCAAUUUAUGAUAAUUCUUUGUUAUUUAUGUAUGGAAUUUAUUGGGAGGAAAUGCAGGAAAGAAUUCAUUUACGUGGUUUGGUCCAAGACCAAGGGUGAACAUUACGGACCCUGAAAAAAUAAGAGAAAUACUUAACAAAUUUAAUGACUUCCAGAAGAUACAUACCAAUCCACUGCUUAAUUUGCUUGUAAGCGGCCUUGCUAACCUCGACGGAGACCGAUGGAGCAAGCGUAGAAAAAUCAUAAACCCUGCAUUUCAUCAAGAUAAGUUGAAGGUAUAGAAUAGUGAUGGGUAAUCAGACUUUACAGAAAACAUCAUACUUAAACCUAUGCUUUUCUGAUUUAGAAAUAAUUGGAUGCAGAAUAUGUUGCCAGCAUUUUAUCAAAGUUGUAGUGACAUGUUAAGCAAAUGGGAGAAGAUGGUGUGUACAAAAGGAUACAGUGAGUUAGAUGUGUGGCCUUAUCUCGUAGAUUUGACAAGAGAUGUGAUUUCCCGAUCUGCUUUUGGAAGCAGCUUCGAAGAAGGCAAACGAAUUUUCCAAUUACUAGAGGACCAACUCGUUCACAUAAUCAAAUUAAUACAAACUGUUUACAUUCCAGGAUGGAGGUAACCGUCAACUUAAUUUACUUGAAAAAGGUUGCAAAUGUUGGAAUUCGCUAAAUUCGUGUUUGUUUUCUUGAAGGUUUUUGCCAACGAAGACAAACAGGGAGAUGAAGAUGAAACACAGGGACAUAAAAGAGUUGCUUAUGGAAAUGAUAAAGAGAAGGGAGAAGGCAAUUAAAGCAGGGGAAGAGAGCAAUGAGGACUUGUUGGACAUACUUGUGGAAUCCAAUAUCAGAGAAAUGGAAGCAAAGAAUAUUGGGAUGAGCAUUGAGGAUGUGAUUGAGGAAUGCAAGCUGUUUUACUUAGCUGGCCAAGAGACCACUUCGGUCUUACUGGUGUGGACUAUGGUUUUAUUAGCAAGGUAUCCCGAUUGGCAAAGUAAAGCAAGAGAGGAGGUUUUGCAUGUUUUGGGUGACAGUAAACCUGACGCUGAUGGCCUUAAUCGUCUCAAAGUUGUAAGUCCCUAGCAUGUCUUUUGAAGGUCCGAUCAAUGAGGUCGACAACUCAAAAACUUUGUUUCUUUUUUCGCUAAUUCUACAGGUAACAAUGAUAUUGUACGAGGUUCUAAGGCUGUACCCACCGGUGGUUGAGCUAGAACGUUCCGUUCCAAAAGAAAUAAAACUGGGGAAUUUGUUGUUACCAGUAGGAACAGAAGUUUCGGUUCCGAUCCUGCUGAUCCACCAUGACAAAGAUCUUUGGGGCGAUGACGCACGGGAAUUUAAGCCAGAGCGGUUCGCGGAAGGGGUUUCCAAAGCAACAAAGAGUCAAGUCACGUUUCUGCCAUUCGGAUGGGGUCCUAGGAUCUGUAUUGGCCAAAAUUUUGCUAUGAUGGAAGCCAAAAUGGCGAUGGCUAUGAUUCUCCAACGCUUCUGGUUCGAGCUUUCCCCUUCCUAUGCUCACUCUCCUUACGGCAGGGCAACUCUUCGUCCACAGCAUGGUGCACAGAUAAUUUUACAUAAACUUGGCUGUAAUUGAAUUGUUAUGUAAACAAAUCUUUGUGAAAACAUAGCGUUUUAGUUUAUCGUCAAAGUCCGGUGUCUGUAAUGGUACAAAUUCGAUGCAUGAAUAGUAAAGUUUGAGAUGUUUGGUGAAGUCCGAAAUAAUAUGCAGAAAUUGAGUGUGGUAAUUAUCAAUCAAAUAAUUCGGUACAAAGACUUACAUGGAAAUUAAAGCAGGGGGAGUUGAAAAUGACUACUCUGCUUUGGGCAUCAAUUUAGAAAGAUUUAAAGUACAAAUGUGUUAUUAGUUAAGGGAUUUGUUUUAAAGAGGGAAUGACAAUUAAACCUCAUGGUUGAUUUGUGGAAGGGAACCGAUGAUGGGAUGAUUAUUCUUAGUGGUAAAAAAAACUAUUGUGGAGGUUAUUAUACUUGUUAUCAUCGGCUUAAAAUUCGAAUGGGUUCAAGUCGGAUUAUAUCGAGCUUGUAAGAUGAGUUCACGGAUCAAAUUUGCAUAAUAAAAAUACUUAAAUGAAAAAAAUUUCUAUUUUAGAGGGACCAGAGCCCCUACCAAUUCCCGGCUCAGCUACUAAACAAUACCCAUAUCAUAUAAAUAAAUACCACCAUAAAAAAAACUCAAAGAAAAACACUGACAAAUGAUAAAUAGAUAGAUGUUGGAUAAGUGUCCAAAAUAUGAUUUAAGUGAAGAUACAUGGGGUAGGUGUCACGGAAAUGUGAAUACAAGAAUACUACUAAUGGGAUGUGUACAGUUGAAUGUAGGGAGCAAAAAGAGGAGUGAAUCAUUUUGGUAACAUUGGGACAAGAAACAUAAUGAACAAAAUGGAAGGAGAGGAAGCUAGUAAAAGAAAUUUUUUGGGUCAUAUAAUUUGUUUGGCAUAUAUUUUUAUAAUUUUUAAAUAUCAUUUUGGACUUGAAUUAUAAUUUUUUUAUAUAUUAUCUUAAAAUUGUAUAAAUUUUAAGGAGUUAAAACAAAAUUAUUCUAUUUUUAGAUGGUUAAAGUAGAGAUGAUAAUGGGUUGAGCUAUUCGGCCCAGCCUGACGAUCCACCCGAAAAAUAGGAAGGUUUGGGUAAAAAUAUAGGCUUGAAAUAUGAAUUUGAGCAAAAAAAGAGGCCCGUUUAGAAAAUGGGCCGAGCCUCGGGUAAAACCUUUUGGGUCUAGACCUGACCUAAAUUAUAUAUUAAAUAUAUAUAUUUUUAUUUUUAAUCAAAUAUACUUUUGUUUUAUUAUUAAUUUGGUUAUUAUUUUAGUUCUAAUUUGUUUCAAUUUUAAUAUAACUACUUUUUAUUAUAUUUUCAAUUUGUGCAUUGUUUUAAGAAUUAUUUUAGUCUCAUUAUUUAUUUAUUUUUUAUUUUAAUAUUUGUUUUAAAAUUUUUUAUUUAUUGAAAUAAGCUAAAAAAAUUAAUAUGGGUUGGACCAGACCGGGCUCGGGCCUAGUAAUUUUCUUUUGGGCCGGACUUAAACAAAUUUUUAAGCCCAUAUUUUGAAUUGGGUCCUACACUAGAAAAUGGACCUAAAAUUUUGUAUUACCUUUAGGUCAGAGCUAUCCUCGUUUUGCAUUUCUUUGAGAUUCAGCCUUAUUUACUUUUGAUUGCCCACUCAAUAGAGGGUUGAGUAGAAAUAUUUGGUGAAGCAAGCUAAGCUAUCAAUCAAGGUGUGCAUAAUUAUUUAAAUGUAAUUCUAAUAUUAAAAUAAAAUUUUUAUUAAUAUAGUAUCAACAAGCAUUAAAUGUAAUCAUCAUAUACUAUUAAAUUUUCAAUAAGAGAAAACAAGCUUGAACUUUAAAAACGAUGUUACUAAAAACAUUAUCACAAAUCUUGAAAUAUAAAAAAUACUUUUUAAUAUAAUAAAAAAAUAAUUUUAAAACCGAGAUGAAUAAAAUUCUAAUUUUAAUUAAUGAUACCAACAACAAAUCAAUAUUUAAAUUAAAAUUUAUCUUAAUUUAAUAUAAUAAAAUUGGACUUGAAUAUUGAAUUUUUGAGUCUUGGGCAAAGUAGAGGUGCUCAUGGGCCGGGUUGGGUCGGGUUUGGGAAAAAUUUCGGCCCGCAUCCUAGGCUCGGGCUCGGCCCGACCCAAAUAUGGGCCUAAAAUUUUGUCUAGGCCUAGCCCGGCCCGGCCCAACUCAUUUUUUUUAAUAAACACCAAAAAUUUAUUUUGAAAAUAAAAAAAUAAAAAAAGUAUUUUAAAAAUAUUUUAAAAUUUUUAAAAAAUAUAUAUAUUUAUUAUAUAUUCGGGCCGGGCCAGGCCCGAGCCAAAAAAGUGGCGCCCAAGGCCCGGCCUGUUUUCUAAACGGGACUCAUUUUUUACCCAAACCCAUAUUUCGGGCCUAUAUUUCUACCCGAAUCUCUCAUAUUUAGGGCGAACCGUCGGGCCGGACCGGGCCGCCCGGCCAUGAACACCUCUAGGACAAAGUCACUCAAUGAAUGCAUGGAAAGAAAUAAUGCAACUUGGUGAUAGCUUUUGUUGGAGUUAUAUGCUUUUUUUUUACGUAGUGGAACUUUCGGUGGAUUUUCAAGUUUCAUGAACUUUAUACUCUAUGCUUUACGUGAAAAAAAAAAUUCAUUGGACUUAAAAGUCUACCAAAAGUUUCACUAAAAAAAAAACCAUUGCUACAAGAUUACAACAUAAAGUUACAAUAAGAGCUUAUAACUCAACAAAGGCUAUCAAUAAAUAAUCUCAAACAAAUUAAAGAGAAAUGUUGAGAGUACCACUCGAAUAGUGAUUAACUUUAAAAAUUGAAAACCCAAAGUUAUAAUAUCCCAAACGAAAUCAAACCAUAAACAUUAAAUUUUUCGAGUCUACUAGAUACUGCAAAAAAUUCAGCUCCAACAGACACCAAAUGAACCUAUGAUCGAAGAAAAUACGAAAACUAGUCUAGCUAAAUCAAGCUGCCAAACUUACUUUUUAUCUUAUCUUUAAUUUGCUGUGAAAUUCAAAACUAAGGUUUUGUACUUAGAACAACUUUCAAAAAGUUAAUUUUGAAAAAUGGAUUGAAUUUUCAAAAUAGAUGAUAUUUUAUUGUGUUAAAAUUUUAUUCGUUGUUUGAAAAAAAAUUUAAAUCAUUUUCUUAGAAUUAUUUUUAGUGAAACAAACAUAUCAUAAAUAUAUUUGUUAUAAAAUAUUUAUAUUAAUAUUUUCUUUUAACAAUUAAAAUAUAUUUUGUGAUAAGGUAUAUUUUAUAAUAAUUAAUAUCAUAUAUACUUAAUAAUAAAUCAUGUCUAAUUAAAAUUUAAUUUCAAUUAAAUAUAUUAAUAAAGCUACAUAUAAUCAUAUUUUAUAUAAUAAAAAUAUUAAUAUAAAUAUUUUUUUAAUAAUAUAUUAAAGAAUAUUUAAAAUUUAAAUUUAUUAUUACUAAGAUUAAUUAUUAAAAUAAAAAUGUAAUGUUAAAUAAUUUAUCCAAUGAUAAGUUAUAUUAAUAAUUUAUUAUAUUAUUAAAUAUAAAUAAUUAAAUAUGUAUGUUUAAUAAUAUUAUGUUAUAAUAUUUAUUAUUAAUAUUUUAAUAUUUUUAAACAACCAUGUUUUAAAGAUGGUGGUGAUGGUGAUGGUGCAGGCCCCCUUGUUACAAUUACAAUAUUUUUAAGUGGGAUGCAUGUAAUAUAUUGUUAGGGUUUUAGAGUGUGUGGUCUUUAAAAGGGUUAAAUUAUAUAUUUAUAUAAUAUGAUUAUUGUUUAUAAAUAUAAUAUUGUAGAUAAACUUUUAUGCAUGUCAAUAUGUAUCCUACUCUGGGGUUAAUAUGUAUUUUUAGAUAUGGAUUCACCUAUAUAAUAGUAUGAAUCCAUCAUGCGGUCUCAUGAAAUAUACAAACACAUAUCGUGCGAACACAAAGUACGAACAAUAAAAAGUACAAAUCAAGACCAAUUGAGUAAUUGAAUAGCAGAUAGGUAAUAAUGACUAUCCCCUCUUGUUUGAAUUUAUUUUAUUUCCAGUGAGUUAUCGUUUAUGAUAAAUUUACAACAAAUGUUUUUAUCAUUAUUUUGUUGGUAAAUGAUAAUAAGAUUAAACUUUACUUUCUUAAGCUCCUUCAAUUCUUUGGACGUUAGCAAGUAAACUUGAGCUUCAGCAUUCCACAAACACCUUAAUUUGAAGACACAGUUCUCCCAUACUAAAAACAACAUGGACGUUUACCUUGUAAUUAGAGAUUUGGGCUCAUUGUUAGGUUAUUAAUGAUACGGGGAUGGAGAGCUUUAAACUGGGUAUGGCUGGCCCCAAAGAGGCUCGAAACGUGCUUGAGACUAGAGGUCCAGGCAAAUUUUUAGGCCCAUUUUUUAGGCCUGGACUGGGCCCGACUCGAAAUAUGAGCUUAAAAAUUUGUCUAAGUUCGGUCCAAAAGAAAAUUGUUAAGCCUAAGCCCGGCCCAUAUUAAAUUUUACAACACCAAAAAACUAUAUAUUUAAUAUAUAUAUUUGAUUAAAAAGUAUAUUUAAUUAAAAAUAAAAAUAUAUAUUUAAUAUAUAAUUCGGGCCGGGCCGAACUCGGGCCAAAAAAGUUUUACUCGGGGCUGGUCCGUUUUCUAAACAGACCUCGUUUUUUUGUCAAAAUCCAUAUUUUAGGCUUAUAUUUUUACCCGAAACUUCCUAUUUUUCGGGUGAACCGUCAGGCCGGACUAGGUAGCCCAACCAAUGAUCACCUCUACUUGAGACAACAGGGUUUUGCAGGGAAUUCUUACAGGUUCGUUUCUGGCGACAUAAAAGAGCUCUUCACUAUAAGCAUACAAACAAGAGCCAAACCUAUGCCUCUUAGUGAUGAUAUUGGGCCUUAUGUUGUUCCUUUUCAACAUCAAACCGUCAAUCAGUAUGGUAUGUUUUUUAAUUUAAUCUGCAAUUUAUGAUAAUUCUUUGCUAUUUAUGUAUGGAAUUUAUUGGGAGGAAAUGCUGGGAAGAAUUCAUUUACGUGGAUUGGUCCAAGAUCAAGGGUGAACAUUACGGACCCGGAAAAAUAAGAGAAAUACUUAACAAAUUUAAUGACUUCCAGAAGGUACGUACCAAUCCACUGCUUAAUUUGCUUGUAAGCGGCCUUGUUAACCUCGAAGGAGACCGAUGGAGCAAGCAUAGAAAAAUCAUAACCCUUCAUUUCAUCAAGAUAAGUUGAAGGUAUAGAAUAGUGAUGGGUACUUAGACUUAAUUUACAGAAAACAUCAUACUUAAAUCUAUGCUUUUCUGAUUUAGAAAUGAUUGGAUGCAGAAUAUGUUGCCAGCAUUUUAUCAAAGUUGUUGUGACAUGUUAAGCAAAUGGGAGAAGAUGGUGUGUACAGAAGGAUACAGUGAGUUAGAUGUGUGGCCUUAUCUUGUAGAUUUGACAAGAGAUGUGAUUUCCCGAUCUGCUUUUGGAAGCAGCUUCGAAGAAGGCAGACGAAUUUUCCAAUUACUAGAGGACCAACUCGUUCUCACAAUCAAAUUAAUACAAACUGUUUACAUUCCAGGAUGGAGGUAACCCUCAACUUAAUUUACUUGAAAAAGGUUGCAAAUGUUGGAAUUGGCUAAAUUCGUGUUUGUUUUCUUGAAGGUUUUUGCCAACAAAGACAAACAGGGAGAUGAAGAUGAAACACAGACAUAAAAGAGUCGCUUAGGGAAAUGAUAAAGAGAAGGGAGAAGGCAAUUAAAGCAGGGGAAGAGAGCAAUGAGGACUUGUUGGACAUACUUGUGGAAUCCAAUAUCAGAGAAAUGGAAGCAAAGAAAAAGGGGAUGAGCAUUGAGGAUGUGAUUGAGGAAUGCAAGCUGUUUUACUUUGCUGGCCAGGAGACCACUUCGGUCUUGCUGGUGUGGACUAUGGUUUUAUUAGCAAGGUAUCCCGAUUGGCAAAGUAAAGCAAGAGAGGAGGUUUUGCAUGUUUUGGGUGACAGUAAACCUGAUGCUGAUGGCCUUAAUCGUCUCAAAGUUGUAAGUCCCUAGCAUGUCUCUUGAAGGUCCGAUCUCUGAGGUCGACAACUCAAAAACUUGGUUUCUUUGUUUCGCUAAUUCUACAGUUAACAAUGAUAUUGUACGAGGUUCUAAGGCUGUACCCACCAGUGAUUGAGCUAGGACGUUCCGUUCCAAAAGAAAUAAAACUGGGAAAUUUGUUGUUACCAGCAGGAACAGACGUUUCGGUUCCAAUCCUGCAGAUCCACCAUGACAAAGAUCUUUAGGGCGACGACGCACGGGAAUUUAAGCCACAGCGGUUCACGGAAGGGGUUUCCUAAGCAACAAAGAGUCAAGUCACGUUUCUGCCAUUCGGAUGGGGUCCUAGGAUCUGCAUUGGCCAAAACUUUGCCAUGAUGGGAACCAAAAUGGCGAUGGCUAUGAUUCUCCAACGCUUCUGGUUCGAGCUUUCCUCUUCCUAUGCUUACUCUCCUUACAACAUGGCAACUCUUCGUCCACAGCAUGGUGCACAGAUAAUUUUACAAAAACUUGGCUGUAAUUGAAUUGUUAUGUAAACAAAUCUUUGUGAAAAUAUAGUGUUUUAGUGUAUCGUCAAAGUCUGCCUGUAAUGGUACAAUUCCGAUGCAUGAAUAGUAAAUCUUGAGAUGUUUGGUGAAGUCCGAAAUAAUAUGCAGAAAUUGAGUGUCUUGAAUGGAUGUAGUAUUUAAUGGUGGACAUAGUUGAGGGACUAAUGUGGUAAUUAUCAAACAAAUAAUUGCAUAUGGUACAAAGACUUGUAUGGAAAUUAGAGCAGGGCGAGUUGAAAAUUACUACUUUGCUUCGGGCAUCAAUUUAGAAAGAUUUAAAGUACAAAUGUAUUAUUAGUUUAAGGGAUUUGUUUUAAAGAAGGAAUGACAAUUAAACCUCAUGGUUGAUGUGUGGAAGGGAACCAAUGAUGGGAUGAUUACUCUUAGUGGUAAAAAAAAAAACUAUUAAGGUGGUUAUUAUAGUUGUUAUCACCGGCCCAAAAUUCGAAUAGGUUCAGGUCGGAUUAUAUUGAGCUUGUAGAUGAGUUUGCAUGAUAAUAGGUGUUCACAGAAAGAUAUCUAUAGUUUCCUACAAAGUCACAUGUGAGAUCGUGCAUUGGGACCGCAUAAAAAUGUUUUAUGUUUAGAAUAUGAUACGUGUCUAUGUGUAUGGAAUCUACCUAAUAUAUCAUAUUAAUUAAUAGUAUCAAUUGCGGAGCCAAAAAAUUAUUUCUGAGGGGUCAGAAUUAAAUUGUAUAUUUUUACAAAAAUAAAAAUUAAAUUUCACUAUUUUAAUAGUUUAUUUCUUUUUAAUUUUUAAAUGAUUAAAUUAAAUUUUUAUAAAUUUUUGGGAUCAAAGUACAAUUUUAUCAUUUCUAAUUUAAAAUUUUAUAAAAUAUAAAAAGUUUAUAUGAAAAGUUUUCUAUUUUAGAGUGGCCAAAGCCCCUGCCAACUUCCGACUCGAUCACUAAACAAUAUAAAUAAAUAAAUACCACCAUCUAAAAGACUCAAGAAAAACACUCAACGAUAAAUAGAUAGAUGUUGGGUAAAGAUACGUUUGGAUGGGCGGUGCGUUUACUUGCGGUUAGUAUAAAAAUAGCGGUGGCGGUUAGAUUAGAUACUAUAGCAACACUGUAGCGUAAGACAAAAAAUAAGCUAAACGUACUGCACUGCACUUAAUCGCCCAUCCAAACUCACCCUAAGUGUACAAAAUAUGAUUUAAGUGAAGAUACGUAGGGUAGGUGUCAUGGAAAUGUAAAAGACAAGAAUCCCACUAAUGUAUGGGAUGUGUACAGCUGAAUGUAGGGAGCAAAGAGGAGUGAAUCAUUUUGGUAACAUUUGGACAAGAAACAUAAUGAACAAAAUGAAAGGAGAGGAAGCUAGUAAAAGAUUUUUUUGAGUUAUAUAAUUUGUUUGGCAUAUAUUUUUAUAAUUUUUAAAUAUCAUUUUGGAGUUGAAUUAUAAUUUCUUUUUAUGUUUUAAAACAUAAUUAUUCUAUCUUCAAAGGGUUAGAGUAGAGGUGAGCAUGGGUCGGGCUACUCGGCCCGAAAUGUGAGAGAUUUGGGCAAAAAUAUAGGCUCAAAAAAUGGACUUGGACAAAAAAAUAUAAGACCCGUUGAAAAAUGGGCCGGGCAUUGGGUAAGGCAUUUUUGGCCCUGGGCCCGGCCCAAUCCUAAUUCACUAAAGGACAAAAAAAAUUUGAUUUUUAAAUAUUAUUUUCUUCCUAUUUUGCUACCAUUUUACUAUUAUGUUGCUACUAUUUUGUUGUUAUUUUUUGGAUAUUGUAUAAAACUUAUUUUAUUGUUAAUUUUGUUAUUAUUUUAAAGACAUUUGUUAAUUUUGUUAUUAUUUUAGAGACAUUUGCUUGUUAAGUUGUAUCUAUCUUAGUGUUAUUUAAGUGUACAUAUUUUUUAAAAUUUAUUUUCAAUUUAUUGGGAAAUAUUUAUUUUGAUGUUUUUAGUAUUUUGGAUGUAUUAUAUAUAUUAAAAUUAUAUAAAAAUUAAUAUGGCCGAGCCGAGUCAGGCCCAGAUUUUAGCAUUUUUAUUCAGGUCGGGCUUGAGCAAAAUUUUAAGCCCAUUUUUUGGGCCAAACCAGGCCUGGGCUUAGCAAAUGGGCCUAAAUUUUUAGUCAAGCCCGACCUAAACCCGAUCCGGCCCAUGCUCACCUCUAGAUCAGAGCUGCCCUCGCUUUGCAUUUCUUUGAGAUUCAGUCUUAUCUACUGUUGAUUGCCCACUCAAUGGAGGGUUGAGUAGAAAGAUUUGGUGAAGCAAGCUAAGCUAUCAAUCAAGGUUGGAGAAAGCUUAGGAGGUCACAAUGCAUAAUUAUUUAAAUGUAAUUCUAAUAUUUAAAUAAAAUUUAUUAAUAUAGUAUUAACAAGCCCUAAAUGUAAUGAGUAUAUACUAUUACAUUUUUAAGAAGAGAAAACAUGUUUGAACCUUAAAAACAUCAUUAUUAAAAAUGAUAAUUACAAAUUUUAAAAUAUAAAAAAUAUAAUUAAAAAUUAAUUUUAAACCCGAGCUGGAUAAAAUUCUAAUUUUAGAUAACGAUACUAAUAAGAAAUCAAUAUUAAAAUGAAAAUGAAAAGUAAUUUAAUAUAAUUUUUGAGUCUUGGGCAAAGGCACUCAAUGAAUGCUUGGAAAGAAAUAAUGCAACUUGGUGAUAGCUUUUGUUGGAGUAGUAUGCUCUUAUUAUAGUUUUAUGUUUUUAUCUUGCAAAAACAACAUAUUGGAGUUUUCGGCAUGAUUUUUUCUUAAUACUUUACAUGAAAAAUAAUAAUGGGACUUAAAAAUCUAUCAAAAGCUUCACCAUAAUAAUAAUAAUAAUAAUAAUAAUAAUAAAUUGCUACAAUAUUACAACACAAAGUUACAAUAAGAGCUUAUAACUCAACAAAGGUUAUCAAUAAAUAAUCUCAGGCAAGCUAAAGAGAAAUGUUGAGAAUACCACCCGAAUAGUGACUGACUUUAAAAGUUGAAAACCCGAAGCUAUAGUAUCUCAAACGAAAUCAAACCAUUAACAUUAAAAUUUUCAAGUCUACUAGCUACUGUAAAAAAUGCAGCUCCAACAUACACCAAAUGAGUCUUUGAUCGAAGAAAGUACAAAAACUAGUCUGGGUAAACCAAGCUGCCAAACUUACUUAUCUUAUCUUUAAUUUUGCAGUGAAAUUAAAAAUUAAGUUUUUGUUUAUUUCACUUGGAACAACUUUCAAAAAAUUAUUUUUGAAAAAUGGAUUGGUUUUUCGAAAUAGAUGAUAUUUUAUUGUGUUAAAAUUUUAUUCGUUGUUGGAAAACUUUUUUUAAAUCAUUUUCUUAAAGUUAUUUUUAGUGAAACAAACAUAACAUAAAUAUAUUUGUUACAAAAAAAUUAUAUUAGUAUUUUCUUUUGACAAUUAAAAUUUAUUUUAUGAUAAGACAAUAUUUUGUAAUAAUUAAUAUCAUAUAUAUAUACGUAAUAAAAAAAUCUUGUUUAAUUAAAAUUUAAUUAAAAUUAAAUAUAUUAAUAAAGCUACAUAUAAUCAUAUUUUUUAUAAUUAAAAUAUUAAUAUAAAUAUUUUUCAAUAAUAUAUUAAAAUAUUAAAAUUUAAAUUAUUAUUACUUAAAUUAAUUAUUAAAAUAAAAAAUUUAAUAUUAAAUAAUUUAUUCAAUGAUAAGUUUUAUUAAUAAUUUAUUGUAUUAUUAAAUAUAAUUAAUUAAAUAUGCAUAUUUAAUAAUAUUACGUUAUAAUAUUUUAAUAUUCUUAAACAGCCAUGUUUUUAAGAUGCUGGUGAUGGUGAUGCUGCGGGCCUCUCUUGUUACAAUUACUAUAAUUUUUUGUGCAAUAAUUGAAGUUGUUGGGUGGUCAAGCAAACCUCUUUUGACUGAGAUGCAUAUAAUAUACCCGCAUGUCCCCGCCUCCUAAAAUUUAAAUUUGUUAUUUGAAUCUUUAAAUUUUUUAAUAUAAUAUACCCGCAUGUCCCCGCCUCCUAAAAUUUAAAUUUGUUAUUUGAAUCUUUAAAUUUUUUAAAAAUUUUAAAUUCAUAAAAGUAAAAUUAUACUUUGACCCUCUAAAAUUAUAAAAAUUUAAUUAAUCUUUUAAAUUCAUUGGGCCCCUAAUAUAUUGUUCAGGCUUCACCCUUGAUACUGAUGUUGACUAUUUUAGAGUAUGUGUCUUCUUUAACAGGGUUAAAUUAUAUAUUUAUAUAAUAUAGUUAUUGUUUAUGGACGUGACAUCGUAACUAGGUUCUUAUGCAUGUCAACAUAUAUCCUAUUUUAAGGUUAACACGUAUUUUUAAAUGUGAAUUCACCUAUAUAAUGGUAUGAACCAUCAUGCAGUCUCAUAAAAUAUGCGAAUAUAUGUCGUGCGAACACAAAGUACAAUCCACACAGAAUACGAAUUAAGACCCAAUUGAAUAAUCGGAUACGAAUCAGUAAUAAUGAAUUUCAUAACAGCCACCAACCCCUCUUUUGUUUUAAUUUAUUUUAUUUCCAGUAAGUUAUUGUUUGUGAGAAUUCACAACAAAUGCUUUUGUCAUUAUUUUGUUGGUAAAUAAUAAUAAGAUUAAACUUUACUUUCUUAAGCUCCUUCAAUUCUUUGGAAGUUGGUGGUUUUUUAUUCUAAUCUUAUUUUUUUUAUUAAUUUCUUUUUUUAUAAUAAAUGUGUUUAUAGAUCAGGUUGGAUUAUAAUUGAAUCAUUGUCUGGUAUUAACAUAAUUUAAAUCGAUUAAAAUUUAUUCGACUGGAAAUAUAAAUUUAAAAUUUUACUUCAAUUUAUCUUAAUUUAUAAAUUGUGAAUUUAAAUUUAUUUAUUUUCUCUCAUUAUAUUCAGUUUUUCGGAUCAUAUUUGGCCCAGAACAAAAACUAGAACAAAAAAACAAAUAUAUAUGUUUUCCAAAAAUUAAAUUGUUAACUUUAAAAAAAUAUAUUUUUAGCUAUUUAUCAUCAUAGAGAAAAACAAAUAAGGUCACCUCGCCUUAUGCUUCAACACCUCAACCUAGAUUCUCAUCACCUGUAUUUAUCAUCGAUUCAGAUUUUUAUUUUUACUAUAUUCUAGAUCUACCUAUAAAUAUAUCUUCAAACUUCCUCUGGUUAAGUUCAUUCAUAGAUAGGUGAGUAAACUUGAGCUUCAGCUUCAACAAACACCUUAGUUUGCAAUUCUCUCAUACUAAAAAUAUGGAAGUUUACCAUGUAAUUAGAGAUUUGGUCUCAUUGCUUGUUGUUGGUUUAUUAAUGAUAUGGGGAUGGAGAGCUUUAAACUGGGUAUGGUUGGCCCCAAAGAGGCUCGAAAGGUGCUUGAGACAACAGGGUUUUGCAGGGAAUCCUUACAGGUUCCUUUCUGGUGACAUAAAAGAGCUCUUAACUAUGAGCAGACAAACAAGAGCCAAACCUAUGCCUCUUAGUGAUGAUAUUGGGCCUUAUGUUGCUCCUUUUCUUCAUCAAACUGUCAACCAGUAUGGUAUGUUUAAUUAUUAUUUAAUCUUCAAUUUAUGAUAAUUCUUUGUUAUUUAUGAAUGGAAUUUAUUGGGAGGAAAUGCAGGAAAGAAUUCAUUUACGUGGAUUGGUCCAAGACAAAGGGUGAACAUUAUGGACCCUGAAAAAAUAAGAGAAAUAUUUACCAAAUUUAAUGACUUCCAGAAGGUGCGUACCAAUCCACUGCUUACUUUGCUUGUAAGCGGCCUUGUUAACCUCGAAGGAGACCGAUGGAGCAAACAUAGAAAAAUCAUAAACCCUUCAUUUCAUCAAGAUAAGUUGAAGGUAUAGAAUAGUGAUGGGUACUUAAGACUUAAUUUACAGAAAACAUGAUACUUAAAUCUAUGCUUUUCUGAUUUAGAAAUGAUUGGAUGCAGAAUAUGUUGCCAGCAUUUUAUCAAAGUUGUUGUGACAUGUUAAGCAAAUGGGAGAAGAUGGUGUGUACAGAAGGAUACAGUGAGUUAGAUGUGUGGCCUUAUCUUGUAGAUUUGACAAGAGAUGUGAUUUCCCGAUCUGCUUUUGGAAGCAGCUUCGAAGAAGGCAGACGAAUUUUCCAAUUACUAGAUGACCAACUCGUUCUCAGAAUCAAAUUACUACAAACUGUUUACAUUCCAGGAUGGAGGUAACCCUCAAUUUACUUGAAAAAGGUUGCAAAUGUUGGAAUUGGCUAAAUUCGUGUUUGUUUCCUUGAAGGUUUUUGCCCACAAAGACAAACAGGGAGGUGAAGAUGAAACACAAAGACAUAAAAGAGUCGCUCAGGGAAAUGAUAAAAAGAAGAGAGCAGGCAAUUAAAGCAGGGGAAGAGAGCAAUGAGGACUUGUUGGACAUACUUGUGGAAUCCAAUAUCAGAGAAAUGGAAGCAAAGAAAAAGGGGAUGAGCAUUGAGGAUGUGAUUGAGGAAUGCAAGCUGUUUUACUUUGCUGGCCAGGAGACCACUUCGGUCUUACUGGUGUGGACUAUGGUUUUAUUAGCAAGGUAUCCCGAUUGGCAAAGUAAAGCAAGAGAGGAGGUUUUGCAUGUUUUGGGUGACAGUAAACCUGAUGCUGAUGGCCUUAAUCGCCUCAAAGUUGUAAGUCCCUAGCAUGUCUUUUGAAGGUCCGAUCAAUAAGGUCGACAACUCAAAAAUUUGGUUUCUUUUUUCGCUAAUUCUACAGUUAACAAUGAUAUUGUACGAGGUUCUAAGGCUGUACCCAUCAGCGACUGAGCUAGGACGUUCCGUUCCAAAAGAAAUAAAACUGGGAAAUUUGUUGUUACCAGCAGGAACAGAAAUUUCGGUUCCGAUCCUGCUGAUCCACCAUGACAAAGAUCUUUGGGGCGAUGACGCACGGGAAUUUAAGCCAGAGCGGUUCGCGGAAGGGGUUUCCAAAGCAACAAAGAGUCAAGUCACGUUUCUGCCAUUCGGAUGGGGUCCUAGGAUCUGCAUUGCCCAGAAUUUUGCUAUGAUGGAAGCCAAAAUGGCGGUGGCCAUGAUUCUCCAACGCUUCUGGUUCGAGCUUUCCCCUUCCUAUGCU